GGGGGCUUAGCUCAGCUGGGAGAGUGCUUGCAUGGCAUGCAAGAGGUCAGGGGUUCGAUCCCCCUAGUCUCCA
rnacentral:tRNA from 3 species